UCUAUCCCCAAUCUCUCUCUCUCUCUCUCUCAUCCCCAAUUCGCCUCUCAGCCGAGCUCCAUGACCACGCCGCUGCCUCGGCACCACCGAUUCCGGUUAGCUCCGGUGCUCUCCCGCGAAGUUUCUCACCAGCCCGUCUGUCCCUCGGUGCUCUCCACCGACCCCGUGCCGCCGCGACGUCCUCCGCCCACCUACCGCAACCCUACUGGUCGCCGUGGGUCGCCGGCGCGGCUGCCGCGCCUCCUCUGGUUUCUGGCUUGGUCUCGGCGGUGUUGCUCUGCUUCGGCUACCUCACCUCCGACAUUGACGGUUUAGUUCUGAAAUUGACCUUGCUUCAGCCAACAUGCGUGUGGUCGUUCUGUCUCUUAGCAGGGGUCGAGGCCAUGGCUCACGUCUGGGGCUCAACACAUCUGAAUCUCCUCUUGUGGUACAUGUCCCCAUCUCUGUUCAGGGUGGCGCUACAAGAUCAAAUCGAAACCAGAUCACAUGGCAGCUCAGUCUGGUAUGUACAUCAUUCCCAACUGCUAAUUAAUUAUUCCGUGAUGUCUUCUCGUUUACUAACCAGAGCAUGCUCUUGUCUGUACUAAGUAGAUCAUGCAUUCCUUCAAGGUUGAGUCAGGGC